CAGCAGCCGCGGUAAUACGAAGGGUGCAAGCGUUAAUCGGAAUUACUGGGCGUAAAGCGUGCGUAGGCGGUGAGUUAAGUCUGUUGUGAAAUCCCCGGGCUCAACCUGGGAAUGGCAAUGGAUACUGGCAAGCUAGAGUGUGUCAGAGGAUGGUGGAAUUCCCGGUGUAGCGGUGAAAUGCGUAGAGAUCGAGAGGAACAUCAGUGGCGAAGGCGGCCAUCUGGGACAACACUGACGCUGAGGCACGAAAGCGUGGGGAGCAAACAGGAUUAGAUACCCCAGUAGUCCCUGUCUCUUAUAC
rnacentral:rRNA from 1 species